GGCAGACCUGAGGGUGGUGAGUUCUCCCAAAUGAUUGCUCACAGUUAAAGAUAGAACCUCAUAUUCUUAACUCCCCCUUCUAACUACUGUGCUUGACUAGUCUAAA
ensembl:misc_RNA Y_RNA Y RNA